UCGACAGGUUCUUAACGGGAUCUUCCUCCUCGCACCCCCUUCUUUUUCUUUUCUCUGUCCCCCAAAACGCGCGGCCCCUUCGGAGGCGGGGGCGGCCUGGGAAGCGGCCCCUGGCCAGGGGACACAGCGGUGCGCGGCCACCCGGGCACGGGGAGCGGGGGCCCAGCUGUCUCUAACGAUUCCUGCGAUCACUGAGCUCCAAAACCGGCGGGACAAAGGCCUCGGAUCUCGUUUGGGGCCCGCAGCCGGGUGGCACCGAAUCGGUACCGCAGCGGCACCGCCCGGCCCCAGCGGGGCACCGGCACCGGGGGAUGCUCCGUGCACAGCUCCCGGUCCCACCAGCCAACACUGAGCUUCUCCUUCCUUUAAACAGAAUAGCCGUAUUUUCGACAAGCUCGUUAUGAAGGAAGACGUGAAGGAGCUCUGUUUCUGGAGGCUGCAGGAGGCAUCAGGGAAGAAAGAACGAAAAUGCAUCCAAACCUCUGUCUGCGCGUCGGGGAAGGCUGGAGGUGCGGGUGGACGGACGGACGGACGGACGGACGGACGGAUGGAUGGAUGGAGGCAGCCGCGUCGCUCCUGGGCUCUCCCUAACUCCCAAUUAACCCAAGCAGGAUAACGAUGCCAAACCUUAUGCAAAGGUUAGCGGCUCUCAGGGGGGCGUUUGGGCUGCAAAUGGUUUCAGCCGAAGAUAAAAGGCGAGAGCGAACCCGCGAACGAGCCGCAGCCUCCCCUCUGCCAGCGCUGGAGCCGGGGGGCUCUGGCACUGUCUGCUUUUCUCUGCAGCCGCUCCCCGGGGCGGGCCGAGGGUCUCCCGGGCCCCCCGAGCAGCCCUAGGGGUGUGCAGCCCUGCUCCUGCGGGGAGCAGCUCGUCCUGACCCCAGCAUCCUCCCCAGGCACAUCCGAGCUGGAGGAGCAGCUCUGCCUUAUCUCUCCACACCAGGCUCGCGAGGGUUGUGGCUGGGUCUUCUGGUUAUUAAACUGAGGGAAAAGAGCUAUUUGUGCUCAAAAAUCAUUUAAAGCAAGCCAGGAGGGCAAAUCUUGGGUGUGUUAUCUUUCUAAAUCCCUCACCACCAGCCCUCUCCAGGGCAGCACAGAGCGGUGCCAGUGGCACAAGGGUGCAGAUAUUUGGGGAAGGGUGGGCAUCACUGCUAGUUCACUGCUCAGGCAGGAUCUGAUUCUCAAGGGCUUUGGGGGUCUGUGAGCUGCUACAAACACUCUAGACUGCAAAUUGUGACCACAUGAAAAAGGGAGUGUGUAAAUCCUGAGUGUUCACCUUCACCCUCCCCUGUAACACUCAGGAAAAGAGUGGGUGUCCAAAGGCAGCUGUGCAACCCCCUGAUUCCUGCUCAGACUCCUGGCCUAUGCCACCGUAUUUCCCCACACCCCCUAACCUGCUACAGGGCACCUCCAACACAGACAGGAAGGCUGAGGGGCACCUUCUGCCCAAACAGCCAAGAAAAUCCCAUGGUGACAUCUGCCCAAAGAACAGAACCCACCCGGCUCAGCCCAGGCGCUCCUGGAGCAGCAGCCACCCCUCUGGGCAGGUACAUGUGCACCUCGGGAGGUGACCCCAGGACAUGGAAGUCAUUCCACCUUCCUGCAGCCGUUGCCAAAAGCAGCUCCUGGGUUUAUGGGCAGGCCCAAGGCACCCCUGCAGCAGCAGCAAUGCUGC